rnacentral:rRNA from 1 species
GAUGAACGCUGGCGGCGUGCCUAAUACAUGCAAGUCGAGCGAACGGACGAGAAGCUUGCUUUUCUGACGUUAGCGGCGGACGGGUGAGUAACACGUGGAUAACCUACCUAUAAGACUGGGAUAACUUCGGGAAACCGGAGCUAAUACCGGAUAAUAUAUUGAACCGCAUGGUUCAAAAGUGAAAGACGGUUUUGCUGUCACUUAUAGAUGGAUCCGCGCUGCAUUAGCUAGUUGGUAAGGUAACGGCUUACCAAGGCAACGAUGCGUAGCCGACCUGAGAGGGUGAUCGGCCACACUGGAACUGAGACACGGUCCAGACUCCUACGGGAGGCAGCAGUAGGGAAUCUUCCGCAAUGGGCGAAAGCCUGACGGAGCAACGCCGCGUGAGUGAUGAAGGUCUUCGGAUCGUAAAACUCUGUUAUUAGGGAAGAACAUAUGUGUAAGUAACUGUGCACGUCUUGACGGUACCUAAUCAGAAAGCCACGGCUAACUACGUG